CGCCGCUCGCCCCUGCUCCCGCGCCCGCUGCUGCUCCUGCCCCGCAGCCCCCCGCGCACCGGGGGCAGCGCCGCCGCCGCGCCAUCCGCAGCCCCCGCCUCGGACGGGAACAUCCCUGUGGAGCUUCCUCAGCUGGACCUCAGCUUCUCCAAGCUCAAAGCUCCAGAAACAGAAGUCUUCAAAACAAUUUUAAGUGAAAAACUUCCUGUAAUUG